GCAGACUCAACAUAAAAUUGAGAUGGAUAAGAGAGAUGGGGUGUUCGGAACACAAGCAAUGGCAGUGCCUCCUGCUCAAUAUAUGUCACGGAUCGAUCAGCCAAUUCCUCCCUCGGUUGGAUAUCCACCACAACCUGCAUACGGACAGCCCUAUGCACCUCAGUCUCAAGGCUAUCCAGCUCCGGGUUAUCCACAACCAGGUUAUCCACAACCAGGUUAUCCCCCUACUGGAUAUAGGUAAUAUCUGCACUCUUCCGCAGAUUCCGCCAUCAUUCAUUGUGUUUUUGUCCAUGGUUUUAUGAUUUUC
rnacentral:lncRNA from 1 species